CCGCAUGGGAUGAUUAUUAAAGAAUUUCGGUUGUCGAUGGGGAUGCGUUCCAUUAGGCAGUUGGCGGGGUAACGGCCCACCAAACCUACGAUGGAUAGGGGUUCUGAGAGGAAGGUCCCCCACAUUGGAACUGAGACACGGUCCAAACUCCUACGGGAGGCAGCAGUGAGGAAUAUUGGUCAAUGGACGAGAGUCUGAACCAGCCAAGUAGCGUGAAGGAUGACUGCCCUAUGGGUUGUAAACUUCUUUUAUACGGGAAUAAAGUUAGCCACGUGUGGCUUUUUGUAUGUACCGUAUGAAUAAGGAUCGGCUAACUCCGUGCCAGCAGCCGCGGUAAUACGGAGGAUCCGAGCGUUAUCCGGAUUUAUUGGGUUUAAAGGGAGCGUAGCGGGUUGUUAAGUCAGUUGUGAAAGUUU
rnacentral:rRNA from 1 species